UACGGAGGGGGCUAGCGUUGUUCGGAAUUACUGGGCGUAAAGCGCACGUAGGCGGCUUUGUAAGUUAGAGGUGAAAGCCCGGGGCUCAACUCCGGAAUUGCCUUUAAGACUGCAUCGCUAGAAUUGUGGAGAGGUAAGUGGAAUUCCGAGUGUAGAGGUGAAAUUCGUAGAUAUUGGGAAGAACACCAGUGGCGAAGGCGGCUCUCUGGACCGAUACUGACGCUGAGGCGCGAAAGCGUGGGGAGCAAACAGG
rnacentral:rRNA from 1 species